rnacentral:rRNA from 1 species
CCCUGGUUGAUCCUGCCAGAAGUUAUAUGCUUGUCUCAAAGAUUAAGCCAUGCAUGUCUCAGUGCAAGCCGUAUUAGGGCGAUACCGCGAAUGGCUCAAUAUAUCAGUUUUGGUUCCUUAGAUCUUACUCAGUUACUUGGAUAACUGUGGUAAUUCUAGAGCUAAUACAUGCAAUCAGAACUCUGACCAGUGAUGGGACGAGUGCUUUUAUUAGAUCAAAACCAAUCGACGGAGGGCCUCGCGUUCGAAGUCGUUAAUUUUGAUGAAUCUGGAUAACUUUUGCCGAUCGCACGGUCCAGCACCGGCGACGCAUCUUUCAAAUGUCUGCCUUAUCAACUUUCGAUGGUAGUUUCUGCGACUACCAUGGUUGUCACGGGUAACGGGGAAUCAGGGUUCGAUUCCGGAGAGGGAGCCUGAGAAACGGCUACCACAUCCAAGGAAGGCAGCAGGCGCGCAAAUUACCCACUCCCGGCACGGGGAGGUAGUGACGAAAAAUAACGAUACGGGACUCUUACGAGGCCUCGUAAUCGGAAUGAGUACACUUUAAAUAUUUUAACGAGGAACAAUUGGAGGGCAAGUCUGGUGCCAGCAGCCGCGGUAAUUCCAGCUCCAAUAGCGUAUACUAAAAUUGUUGCGGUUAAAAAGCUCGUAGUUGCAUUUGUGCGCCGCGCUGUCGGUGCACCGCAUCCGCGGUGAUACUGACACGUUUGCGGAGCAUAUCGUCGGUGAGCCGACGGUCAAACGUCGGUUCAAUAUCAAAAUCCUAUCGCGGUGCUCUUCAGUGAGUGUCGAGAUGGGCCGACAAUUUUACUUUGAACAAAUUAGAGUGCUCAAAGCGGGCUCAAAAUGCUGCUUGAAUAUUUCGUGCAUGGAAUAAUAGAAUAUGAUCUCGGUUCUAUUUUGUUGGUUUUCAGAACUCCGAGGUAAUGAUUAAUAGGGAUAACUGGGGGCAUUCGUAUUGCGACGUUAGAGGUGAAAUUCUUGGAUCGUCGCAAGACGAACAUCAGCGAAAGCAUUUGCCAAAGGUGUUUUCAUCAAUCAAGAACGAAAGUUAGAGGUUCGAAGGCGAUUAGAUACCGCCCUAGUUCUAACCGUAAAUAUGUCAUCUAGCGAUCCGCCGACGUUACUACAAUGGCUCGGCGGGGCAUGUCUCAGUGCAAGCCGUAUUAGGGCGAUACCGCGAAUGGCUCAAUAUAUCAGUUUUGGUUCCUUAGAUCUUACUCAGUUACUUGGAUAACUGUGGUAAUUCUAGAGCUAAUACAUGCAAUCAGAACUCUGACCAGUGAUGGGACGAGUGCUUUUAUUAGAUCAAAACCAAUCGACGGAGGGCCUCGCGUUCGAAGUCGUUAAUUUUGAUGA